AUACCAUGAUGAGGGCAAGCUUCAGUCAACUCAUUUAAUCUUUCCCAAGCUUCAGCAAUUGAGUCC
rfam:Lupinus angustifolius cultivar Tanjil contig_10789, whole genome shotgun sequence.